UUGGAGGGCAAGUCUGGUGCCAGCAGCCGCGGUAAUUCCAGCUCCAAUAGCGUAUAUUAAAGUUGUUGCAGUUAAAAAGCUCGUAGUUGAACCUUGGGCCUAGCCGGCCGGUCCGCCUCACCGCGUGCACUGGCUCGGCUGGGUCUUUCCUUCUGGAGAACCGCAUGCCCUUCACUGGGUGUGUCGGGGAACCAGGACUUUUACUCUGAACAAAUUAGAUCGCUUAAAGAAGGCCUAUGCUCGAAUACAUUAGCAUGGAAUAAUAGAA
rnacentral:rRNA from 1 species